rnacentral:rRNA from 1 species
GGUCCAGACUCCUACGGGAGGCAGCAGUAGGGAAUCUUCCGCAAUGGGCGAAAGCCUGACGGAGCAACGCCGCGUGAGUGAUGAAGGUCUUCGGAUCGUAAAACUCUGUUAUUAGGGAAGAACAUACGUGUAAGUAACUAUGCACGUCUUGACGGUACCUAAUCAGAAAGCCACGGCUAACUACGUGCCAGCAGCCGCGGUAAUACGUAGGUGGCAAGCGUUAUCCGGAAUUAUUGGGCGUAAAGCGCGCGUAGGCGGGUUUUUAAGUCUGAUGUGAAAGCCCACGGCUCAACCGUGGAGGGUCAUUGGAAACUGGAAAACUUGAGUGCAGAAGAGGAAAGUGGAAUUCCAUGUGUAGCGGUGAAAUGCGCAGAGAUAUGGAGGAACACCAGUGGCGAAGGCGACUUUCUGGUCUGUAACUGACGCUGAUGUGCGAAAGCGUGGGGAUCAAACAGGAUUAGAUACCCUGGUAGUCCACGCCGUAAACGAUGAGUGCUAAGUGUUAGGGGGUUUCCGCCCCUUAGUGCUGCAGCUAACGCAUUAAGCACUCCGCCUGGGGAGUACGACCGCAAGGUUGAAACUCAAAGGAAUUGACGGGGACCCG